rnacentral:miRNA from 1 species
CCAUUUUCCAUUGCAGUCGCUUUGCCCGCGCGGGCGGAGCGGGCUUUGAAAAUCUGCUCACGCGGGCGUGACGGGCUUCAAAAACAAUGAACGCCCGCGCGGGCAAAGCGACUGCAAUGGAAAAUGG